GAGUUUGAUCGUGGCUCAGAUUGAACGCUGGCGGCAGGCCUAACACAUGCAAGUCGAGCGGAUGAAGGGAGCUUGCUCCUGGAUUCAGCGGCGGACGGGUGAGUAAUGCCUAGGAAUCUGCCUGGGUAGUGGGGGAUAACGUCCGGAAACGGGCGCUAAUACCGCAUACGUCCUGAGGGAGAAAGUGGGGGAUCUUCGGACCUCACGCUAUCAGAUGAGCCUAGGUCGGAUUAGCUAGUUGGUGGGGUAAAGGCCUACCAAGGCGACGAUCCGUAACUGGUCUGAGAGGAUGAUCAGUCACACUGGAACUGAGACACGGUCCAGACUCCUACGGGAGGCAGCAGUGGGGAAUAUUGGACAAUGGGCGAAAGCCUGAUCCAGCCAUGCCGCGUGUGUGAAGAAGGUCUUCGGAUUGUAAAGCACUUUAAAGUUGGGAGGAAGGGCAGUAAGUUAAUACCUUGCUGUUUUGACGUUACAACAGAAUAAGCACCGGCUAACUUCGUGCCAGCCG
rnacentral:rRNA from 1 species